ensembl:ncRNA Y57A10B.10 ncRNA
UUGAAUUAAGCCAAUUUGAUAGGGAAGUAUAAGAAUUUUGGCGAGAAUCGCCUCAAACCAUUGGCACAAAAAGAACGCCAUUAAAAUGUUCUUGUUCUCGUGGAA